rnacentral:rRNA from 2 species
ACGGGUGAGUAACACGUGAGCAAUCUGCCCUUCACUUUGGGAUAACUUCCGGAAACGGAAGCUAAUACCGAAUACGACCACUUCAGGCAUCUGAUGGUGGUGGAAAGUUCCGGCGGUGAAGGAUGAGCUCGCGGCCUAUCAGCUUGUUGGUGAGGUAACGGCUCACCAAGGCUUCGACGGGUAGCCGGCCUGAGAGGGUGACCGGCCACACUGGGACUGAGACACGGCCCAGACUCCUACGGGAGGCAGCAGUGGGGAAUAUUGGACAAUGGGCGAAAGCCUGAUCCAGCAACGCCGCGUGAGGGAUGACUGCCUUCGGGUUGUAAACCUCUUUCAGCGGGGACGAAGCGAAAGUGACGGUACCCGCAGAAGAAGCACCGGCCAACUACGUGCCAGCAGCCGCGGUAAUACGUAGGGUGCGAGCGUUGUCCGGAAUUAUUGGGCGUAAAGGGCUCGUAGGCGGUUUGUCACGUCGGGAGUGAAAACUCAGGGCUCAACCCUGAGCCUGCUUCCGAUACGGGCAGACUAGAGGUAUGCAGGGGAGAACGGAAUUCCUGGUGUAGCGGUGAAAUGCGCAGA